UACAGGAGGCCCCAAGCGUUACUGAGAAUCACUGGGUUUAAAGGGUGGCGUAGGUGGUCCGUUAAGUUCGUUGUGAAAUCCCUGGGCUCAACCCAGGAAAUGCUUCGAAUACUGGCGGACUUGAGGCUAGUAGAGGUCACUGGAACUGACGGUGGAGCGGUGAAAUGCGUAGAUAUCGUCAGGAACGCCGAUGGUGAAGACAGGUGACUGGGCUAGUUCUGACACUGAGGCACGAAAGCGUGGGGAGCGAACGGG
rnacentral:rRNA from 1 species